rnacentral:rRNA from 1 species
AGAGUUUGAUCCUGGCUCAGGACGAACGCUGGCGGCACGCCUAACACAUGCAAGUCGAACGGAGAUGAUUUGAGUUUACUUAGAUCAUCUUAGUGGCGGACGGGUGAGUAACACGUGAGCAACCUGCCUUUGAGAGAGGGAUAGCUCCUGGAAACGGAUGGUAAUACCUCAUAACAUACAGAUACCGCAUGGUGACUGUAUCAAAGAUUUAUCACUCAAAGAUGGGCUCGCGUCUGAUUAGAUAGUUGGUGAGGUAACGGCUCACCAAGUCGACGAUCAGUAGCCGGACUGAGAGGUUGAACGGCCACAUUGGGACUGAGACACGGCCCAGACUCCUACGGGAGGCAGCAGUGGGGAAUAUUGCACAAUGGGGGAAACCCUGAUGCAGCGAUGCCGCGUGGAGGAAGAAGGUUUUCGGAUUGUAAACUCCUGUCUUAAAGGACGAUAAUGACGGUACUUUAGGAGGAAGCUCCGGCUAACUACGUGCCAGCAGCCGCGGUAAUACGUAGGGAGCGAGCGUUGUCCGGAAUUACUGGGUGUAAAGGGAGCGUAGGCGGGACGGCAAGUCAGAUGUGAAAUACAUGGGCUCAACCCAUGGGCUGCAUUUGAAACUGCUGUUCUUGAGUGAAGUAGAGGUAAGCGGAAUUCCUGGUGUAGCGGUGAAAUGCGUAGAUACCAGGAGGAACACCGGUGGCGAAGGCGGCUUACUGGGCUUUUACUGACGCUGAGGCUCGGAAGCGUGGGGAGUAAACAGGAUUAGAUACCCUGGUAGUCCACGCUGUAAACGAUGAUUACUAGGUGUGGGGGGACUGACCCCUUCCGUGCCGCAGUUAACACAAUAAGUAAUCCACCUGGGGAGUACGCCUGCAACGGUGAAACUCAAAGGAAUUGACGGGGGCCCGCACAAGCGGAGGAACAUGUGGUUUAAUUCGAUGAUACGCGAGGAACCUUACCCGGGCUUGAAUUGCAGAGGAAGGAUUUGGAGACAAUGACGCCCUUCGGGGCCUCUGUGAAGGUGCUGCAUGGUUGUCGUCAGCUCGUGCCGUGAGGUGUCGGCUUAAGUGCCAUAACGAGCGCACCCCUCUCCAUAGUUGCCAUCAGGUGAAGCUGGGCACUCUGUGGACACUGCCACCGUAAGGUGCGAGGAAGGUGGGGAUGACGUCAAAUCAGCACGGCCCUUACGUCCGGGGCUACACACGUGUUACAAUGGCAGGUACAGAGAGCCGGUCGUAUGCAAAUACGAUCCAAUCCUUAAAGCCUGUCUCAGUUCGGACUGGGGUCUGCAACCCGACCCCACGAAGCUGGAUUCGCUAGUAAUUGCGCAUCAGCCAUGGCGCGGUGAAUACGUUCCCGGGCCUUGUACACACCGCCCGUCAAGCCAUGAAAGCCGGGGGCGCCUGAAGUCCGUGACCGCAAGGAGCGGCCUAGGGCGAAACUGGUAAUUGGGGCUAAGUCGUAACAAGGUA